rnacentral:rRNA from 1 species
CCCUUAGAUGUUCUGGGCUGCACGCGCGCUACACUGAUGCACUCAACGAGUUUACGACCUUGCCCGAUAGGGUUGGGUAAUCUUUUUAAAAUGCAUCGUGAUGGGGAUAGAUUAUUGCAAUUAUUAAUCUUCAACGAGGAAUUCCUAGUAAGCGCGAGUCAUCAGCUCGCGUUGAUUACGUCCCUGCCCUUUGUACACACCGCCCGUCGCUCCUACCGAUUGAAUGGUCCGGUGAAAUGUUCGGACCGCGACAAGGCGGACGGUUCGCUGUCAGCUUUGCUGCGGGAAGUUCAUUAAACCUUAUCAUUUAGAGGAAGGAGAAGUCGUAACA